rnacentral:tRNA from 2 species
GCCUACUUAACUCAGUGGUAGAGU